AAUUGAUAGAAAGGGGGCACUUGGCAACUGACUGGGGGGGGGGGAGGAACAGAGGUGAGAAAGUGCAUCGCGUGGCCCAGGGGGCUCUCAGGGUACCUGACUUGAGCCACAGGAGGCAUCAUUCAUAAAGGGAAGUCAAAAGCAGGCCCUGACCAGAGUGAAGAACAGUUCUAACCAGUCUCAUUUCCCUUAUUAACAGUAACAGCCGACAUGAACUUGGAAUCUCACAGACUCAGCUGAGCAUGAGGGAAGACCUGGCAGGGCGGGGGAGGGGGCCACAUGAAUUCUGAAUAACCCAUCCCAUGCUUGUGUAAGCACCAGCAAAACACGGUGCCAUGGGAGUGCAGCUCAGCACUCAGAUAAUGAGGGCUGCCCUAAGGCUCCAGCUUCUGCUUAAAAUGCAGACAGUCCAAGAGAAGGGACAGUUACAGUGAGAGAAAAGGCUUUCACUACCCCCAGUGGGGACUCCAAGCCAGCCAGGUGGCUCAGCCCUGCAGAAAGCCAGGAGCCUGAGUACCCAACCCUGUUAUCUCCCCCUCCACCCCACCGCCCCACCCCUCCUGUUCCCGGGCCUAUGGAAGGACAAGCUGUUCCCACUGAGCCCUGCCAGGGCUGUGCUUUAACCCCUACAAUCCUUCCUAAUCCUCCUCCGCUCCACCCCUCCAGCUGCUCCCUCCCCAGCCCUGGCAUUCUGCCCACUGGCCUCAGCCCAGCCCUCACUCUGCCCUGCCCAGGCCACCCUCUCCUCUCCCCAGGAACAGCCAGGGUUGGCCCAGAGCCCUCCAGAUCACAGCAAGCUGGGCACCUGCACUUCGGAGGGAGAGCCAGGGACCCGGCCCAGAGUCUAGCCCAGCCUAUUCUUCCCCUCCCGGCUCUUCCACACCCUUGCUCUCUGCUCUAGGAUCUACCAGGCUUCUAGGAGCCGAGAGUCUGGGAACCUGAGUAUCUGGGUCCUACUUGCCACUGGGGCUGCUGACUCAUCUUCUGAAGCCUUGGGUUCCAGCUGUUCAGUGACAGGGAGAUUACAUAAGCCGAGGUCACGUGAUUUUUCUCUCAGGAUGUCUCCAUGAGUUAAUGUGGUGCUGGCGUGGGGCUCAGCAAUGCAGAAGUUAAUCCAAGCCUGGCAAAAUGUUCCUUGCCCCUGGGGGAGCCGCUCCACUGACCACCGGCUUCAGAGAUGAACAUCAUGUUCAGAGCCCAGAACUAAACACGUGGCCCCUUGCACCCUCUUACCUCAAUGCAUACAUAAAACCAGCA